rnacentral:sRNA from 1 species
GCAUAAUCCGCGCCCCACCACAACGCAACCUCUGAUAUUUUUCCAUUCUGAUUCCCUUUCUAUAAGAACCGCUUUCAUACAACCUUUCUUCAGAUCUCUUUUCUCUUCCUUUCCUUAAUCAAUUUAUAAUCUGUAUUAGAAUAGUGACUAACUAAAAGUUGGAAUCCAGGUUAAUUAAGAGGUAGAGCUUUGAGAAAUAAGAUAAAAUCACUGAGUCCAACAUGUUUGAAGAUGUUUGAGAUAUGUAUGGGACAUGACUAGCAUAUGUAGUUUUAAUGGAGUGUUAUAGUUAACUAAUAUAAUCAUAAAAUAUUCUGUAUACUAUGGAGGUAUGCAGAAAAGAUAGCUAAAUAACCG